rnacentral:rRNA from 1 species
CAGUCGAGCGGACCGACGGGAGCUUGCUCCCUUAGGUCAGCGGCGGACGGGUGAGUAACACGUGGGUAACCUGCCUGUAAGACUGGGAUAACUCCGGGAAACCGGGGCUAAUACCGGAUGCUUGAUUGAACCGCAUGGUUCAAUNAUAAAAGGUGGCUUUNAGCUACCACUUACAGAUGGACCCGCGGCGCAUUAGCUAGUUGGUGAGGUAACGGCUCACCAAGGCGACGAUGCGUAGCCGACCUGAGAGGGUGAUCGGCCACACUGGGACUGAGACACGGCCCAGACUCCUACGGGAGGCAGCAGUAGGGAAUCUUCCGCAAUGGACGAAAGUCUGACGGAGCAACGCCGCGUGAGUGAUGAAGGUUUUCGGAUCGUAAAACUCUGUUGUUAGGGAAGAACAAGUACCGUUCGAAUAGGGCGGNACCUUGACGGUACCUAACCAGAAAGCCACGGCUAACUACGUGCCAGCAGCCGCGGUAAUACGUAGGUGGCAAGCGUUGUCCGGAAUUAUUGGGCGUAAAGCGCGCGCAGGCGGUUUCUUAAGUCUGAUGUGAAAGCCCCCGGCUCAACCGGGGAGGGUCAUUGGAAAC